rnacentral:rRNA from 1 species
AUUGAACGCUGGCGGUAUGCUUAACACAUGCAAGUCGAACGGCAGCACAGACUGUAGCAAUACAGUUGGGUGGCGAGUGGCGGACGGGUGAGUAACGCGUGGGAAUCUGUCUUAAAGUGGGGGAUAACUCGAGGAAACUCGAGCUAAUACCGCAUAUCUAGCUUGCUAGAAAGGGGGCCUCUGUUUACAUGCUUUCGCUUUAAGGUGAGCCUGCGUCUGAUUAGCUAGUUGGUAGGGUAAAGGCCUACCAAGGCAAUGAUCAGUAGCUGUUCUGAGAGGAAGACCAGCCACACUGGGACUGAGACACGGCCCAGACUCCUACGGGAGGCAGCAGUGGGGAAUAUUGGACAAUGGGGGAAACCCUGAUCCAGCAAUACCGCGUGUGUGAAGAAGGCCUGCGGGUUGUAAAGCACUUUUAUUGGGGAGGAAAAGUUAAAAGCUAAUGCCUUUUAACCGUGACGCUACCCAAAGAAAAAGCACCGGCUAACUCUGUGCCAGCAGCCGCGGUAA